ACCAUGCAGAUAUAUAGAAAAAUGCUCUGAUAGGCACUCUCAAGAACAAACUAAUUUUUAUUAUUAACUUAAAGGACACCCAUUGAGAGUCAAAAAUAUAUUGUUUAUUUUUGCAUCGGUUGUUUCUAUUUUUAGUAACAGCCAAUAAUUCAUUUUGGUCAAUAUUCAAGGGAAAAUGCAAAAAAAUUGGUGUAAAAAUGACAAUUUCAAUAUUUAAAAGUAAAAAAGAAAAAAACAAUAUAUAAAUAAAAGGGUUAUGUUUUCUCAUAGAACUAAGUCGUAAAAUUAAGUUGGAAUCAUUUUUUUUGUAAAACCCCUAUACAGAAGGCUGUCACGAGGGCACAAAUAUUGGCAUGGUGCCAAGAAAUGAUAAUGGUUCAUUUUUUGUUAAUAUUCAGGGAUACAUUUCUUAGAAAGUAACGCUUCUUUUUUCAGAAUUUUGUGCAUUUAAGAAUCUCUAGGAUAUUAUCCAAACAAUAUGUAAAAUCCACCUUUGGACUCUCAAGGACAGAAAAGUUAUAUCGUAAUGAAAUUACCUCAAAUUCAAAUGAUGGAAAAAUUCAUGAUUUUGUAAGUUUUACUUUUAACCGUAAUUUUAAUGAAUUUUGUGUAAAAUAUUUACAAAUAUAAACAAUAAUAAUUAUUUUUAAUUUUAUAAAAGCUAUAAAUAUUUUUUCCCUGCUUUUCCUGUGAAAAAAAAAAACGUAUUUUACUAUUUAUUUAGAUUUUGUUAGAAUUAUCUCCCCUGUUGCGCUCUUCUGUAGAGAAGGUAGAUAAUGAUUAUGUUUACGAAGUUUAUAAACAGAUGUCUGUCAUCUAAUCGUUUUAAGCAUCAAUUAUGUGUGAUUUGAAGAAAAUUGUCCCUCCUGUGAAUGUAAUUUGUUACGUAUAUACUAGUGGCCUAUGUAUAAAAUGCAUAAAACAUUAUGAAAACCAUCGGGAUCGAAGUACGGAACCACGUGUAAACAUUAUGAGACGUAUCUGAGACGUUUUGUUACCGUUUUGUUCGUCCCCAGAAAAAGAUUCAAGUGCGUGAAUUGUCAACGAGUCUUCAGAUUAUGGCUCUGAUUUUGAUGGAAAUGAUUCUGACAGCAAACAUUCACUUGGUAGCAAGACGGAUGUAGUGAUGAUGAUACCGAAUCAACAAUGUUUGAAUUUGAAAAAGAAACAGAUUAUUCAAAUUCAUUUCCCUGGUUAGGACUGGGCUUUACAAUGGGAUUUUCAGCUGUGGAGCUAUAAAGAAUUACUACAUAGGGUUUCCAAUGUAGUUUUGUCAACAGAAUCCAGAAUUAAGAAGAGGAAAGACAAUGCAGAUGCAGCAUUAGCAUUACCAAUUACUUAGUAUCACUGCUGAGGAAAUGGUACCUGCUUUGAGUACUACUCUUGUGUAUUUGGAGACAGUGCAGUUGUUCUUUAAACCAGAAGUGGAAAUUUCAGUGCUUGUUAAAUUUUCUCCAGAAGUUAUUGGACGAUACAUAGGAAGAAAAUGGUGUCAUACUGAACAAAAUAGUUUGGAUACACCUUAUAGAUUUUGAAAGAUUGAGACCUCAAGAUCAACCCAAAUGAUAUUUAAUAUGUAUCAGGGUUCACUUGCAGGAAUACACAGAAAUUCAGAGUAAAUUCUUAGUGCUUGUUAUCUUAGAAAAGAUCAAAGUUCAAGGUCAGCAGUGCUUUAGUUUUACCAAAUAUAAAACUGUUAUAAAGACUAAUUUCCUGUAUACAGGUAUAGCAAAUAAUCCAGAAUAUGAUUUGGGGAAACCGUGAUUUUUUCUUUUAAAUCUUACCUUAAUUUAGAACCAUGAUGUAAUUUCAAGGUCAUUUUAAUUUUGGAAGUGAAUAUAAAAUAUCAGGAAGCAGUCAAGCAUUGUAAUUUAUUUGUUGUUGAAUGUACUUAAUUAUUGAGUAAUAUUCAAAUUUUAAUAUGCAAUGAAAUUAAAAAUUAUAAAAUAAUUAA